GAACUUAAAUCUCUUUAUGAGUAUCAAUUGGAGGGCAAGUCUGGUGCCAGCAGCCGCGGUAAUUCCAGCUCCAAUAGCGUAUAUUAAAGUUGUUGCGGUUAAAAAGCUCGUAGUUGGAUUUCUGCUGAGGAUGGCUGGUCCGCCCUCUGGGUGAGUAUUUGGCACAGCCUGAGCAUUUAUCUUGAAAGCACAACUGCACUUGACUGUGUGGUGUGUUAUUGAGAACGUUUACUUUGAGGAAAUCAGAGUGUUUCAAGCAGGUGUUUGGCCUUGAAUACAUUAGCAUGGAAUAAUAAGAUAGGACCUCAGUUCUAUUUUGUUG
rnacentral:rRNA from 15 species